rnacentral:rRNA from 1 species
CAGUCGGACGAGCGAGAGAGAGCUUGCUUUCUCGAGCGAGUGGCGAACGGGUGAGUAACGCGUGAGGAACCUGCCUCAAAGAGGGGGACAACAGUUGGAAACGACUGCUAAUACCGCAUAAGCCCACAGGUCGGCAUCGACCAGAGGGAAAAGGAGCAAUCCGCUUUGAGAUGGCCUCGCGUCCGAUUAGCUAGUUGGUGAGGUAACGGCCCACCAAGGCGACGAUCGGUAGCCGGACUGAGAGGUUGAACGGCCACAUUGGGACUGAGACACGGCCCAGACUCCUACGGGAGGCAGCAGUGGGGAAUAUUGCACAAUGGGGGAAACCCUGAUGCAGCGACGCCGCGUGGAGGAAGAAGGUCUUCGGAUUGUAAACUCCUGUUGUUGAGGAAGAUAAUGACGGUACUCAACAAGGAAGUGACGGCUAACUACGUGCCAGCAGCCGCGGUAAAACGUAGGUCACAAGCGUUGUCCGGAAUUACUGGGUGUAAAGGGAGCGCAGGCGGGAAGACAAGUUGGAAGUGAAAUCUAUGGGCUCAACCCAUAAACUGCUUUCAAAACUGUUUUUCUUGAGUAGUGCAGAGGUAGGCGGAAUUCCCGGUGUAGCGGUGGAAUGCGUAGAUAUCGGGAGGAACACCAGUGGCGAAGGCGGCCUAC